GACGAACGCUGGCGGCGUGCUUAACACAUGCAAGUCGAACGGUGAACGAGGGAGCUUGCUCCCUCCGGAUCAGUGGCGCACGGGUGAGUAACACGUGAGCAAUCUGCCCCGAACUCUGGGAUAAGCGUUGGAAACGACGUCUAAUACCGGAUACGACGCGGGAGGGCGUCCUCUCCGCGUGGAAAGAACUUCGGUUCGGGAUGAGCUCGCGGCCUAUCAGCUUGUUGGUGAGGUAACGGCUCACCAAGGCUACGACGGGUAGCCGGCCUGAGAGGGUGACCGGCCACACUGGGACUGAGACACGGCCCAGACUCCUACGGGAGGCAGCAGUGGGGAAUAUUGCAUAAUGGGCGCAAGCCUGAUGCAGCAACGCCGCGUGAGGGACGACGGCCUUCGGGUUGUAAACCUCUUUUAGCAGGGAAGAAGCGAAAGUGACGGUACCUGCAGAAAAAGCACCGGCUAACUACGUG
rnacentral:rRNA from 1 species